rnacentral:rRNA from 1 species
GUGGGGAAUAUUGGACAAUGGGGGGAACCAUGAUCCAGCCAUGCCGCGUGUGUGAAGAAGGCCUUUUGGUUGUAAAGCACUUUAAGCGAGGAGGAGGCUACCGAGAUUAAUACUCUUGGAUAGUGGACGUUACUCGCAGAAUAAGCACCGGCUAACUCUGUGCCAGCAGCCGCGGUAAUACAGAGGGUGCAAGCGUUAAUCGGAUUUACUGGGCGUAAAGCGCGCGUAGGUGGCCAAUUAAGUCAAAUGUGAAAUCCCCGAGCUUAACUUGGGAAUUGCAUUCGAUACUGGUUGGCUAGAGUAUGGGAGAGGAUGGUAGAAUUCCAGGUGUAGCGGUGAAAUGCGUAGAGAUCUGGAGGAAUACCGAUGGCGAAGGCAGCCAUCUGGCUUAAUACUGACACUGAGGUGCGAAAGCAUGGGGAGCAAACAGGAUUAGAUACCCGGGUAGUCC